UGAUAGAUAAAACUCGUCCUCCUACCAC
rnacentral:sRNA from 1 species